GAUGAACGCUGGCGGCGUGCCUAAUACAUGCAAGUCGAGCGAACAGACGAGAAGCUUGCUCCUCUGACGUUAGCGGCGGACGGGUGAGUAACACGUGGAUAACCUACCUCUAAGACUGGGAUAACUUCGGGAAACCGGAGCUAAUACCGGAUAAUAUAUUGAACCGCAUGGUUCAAUAGUGAAAGACGGUUUUGCUGUCACUUAUAGAUGGAUCCGCGCCGCAUUAGCUAGUUGGUAAGGUAACGGCUUACCAAGGCAACGAUGCGUAGCCGACCUGAGAGGGUGAUCGGCCACACUGGAACUGAGACACGGUCCAGACUCCUACGGGAGGCAGCAGUAGGGAAUCUUCCGCAAUGGGCGAAAGCCUGACGGAGCAACGCCGCGUGAGUGAUGAAGGUCUUCGGAUCGUAAAACUCUGUUAUUAGGGAAGAACAAAUGUGUAAGUAACUAUGCACGUCUUGACGGUACCUAAUCAGAAAGCCACGGCUAACUACGUG
rnacentral:rRNA from 1 species